ensembl:snRNA U6 U6 spliceosomal RNA
GUGCUGGCUUCAGAAGCACAUAUACUAAAAUUGGAACAAUACAAAGAAGAUCAACAGGGCCCUUGCACAAGGAUAACAUGCAAAUCUGUGAAGUGUUCCUUUUUUUU